UGGACUUGUUUCUAGUGGGUUGUUCUUUGAUUUUGGGCCAAGCCCCUUCAGUUUUUGGGCCCAGCCCGUUUCACUACAAACCCAGCCCCCUUUCUCACUCAGAUGGCGCCAUUUUGUGCCAGCCCUUAGGGCUUGAUUCUUUCCUUCUUCCUCUGCCGCACACAGCUUCUUCUUCUUCCUCCUUCUAUUUUCUCAUUUCUUCUUCUGCAUUCGGUUGCCGCAUCCCUCUUCCACCAUUCUCAUUUGGUAUUUAGCUUGGUUUUUUAUCUCUUUAAUUAUUUUGUCUCUUUUGCUGCAACCUGAGCCAUCUCUUCUUCUCUUUUGCUUUUUUUAUUUCAUCUAUUUAUUUUUCCUGCAAGUCGAUCUGAAGCCUCACUGUGCACCAUCUUUCCUCUUCUUCAUUUCUUUUGUAUUCCUAGUUUGUGUUAUGUAAAACCCUUUCAUUUCCAUUUGUUUUCCCCACAAAUCGUGCCCUGUUUUAGCUCCCGAAAUCAUGCUAUGUUCUUGGCCAAAACCGUGCGUCCAUGCUCUAGUUUCUUGGUUCUUUAUUCACCUCUAUUUCCACAUUUUCCUUCCUCAAAUUUGAGUGCUUUUAGUGCCUUGUUUUGCCCAAAAUAGUUAGUUCAUUUUGGGUUUUGCUUGAUUAUUUUUGCUCUUGCUGUGAACCUUUUAUUUUCCAGCUAUCAUCUUCUAAUUUUAUUUUAGUAAAUCAGUUUUUUUUCCCAAAAACAUCACUUCAAAUUUUCUUGUUUUCGAAAUCCAUUUCUAGUUCCAAAAAUCGUGAUUUUUUGUGAUUUCAUUUCGAGGUCACUUUUGGCGUUAAAUCGGGUUCUUGAUCUUCCAGAUUUUGCCUUUAUAGAUUUAAUCGUGGAUUUUGAUGCAGAUGAGGAUGUGAGCCCAAGGGAUCGGCCCCAUCGGAGGAGUGAGUUGGAGUUGCUUUCUCGUGUUUGGGAUUUGUUACUCUCUUUUGAUGUGUACCUUUCGUUUGUAUGAUAUUUUUUAUUGGAUUAUUGUAUAACUUUUGAAGGCAUUUUAUUUUAGGAGACUUGUAUUUAAAAUUCUAGUAUUUAGUCAACUAAAUUUAAUUUAUCCGCUGUGACUUUUGUUUUACAUUUGUUACAUGUGCACACACUUAGCACGUGUCUUUGGGGUGUGUGAUUUGUGUUGUCAGCGUCUCGACAUCACGAUUUUUACAUUUCCGUACGUGGGAGUUGAUGCAUCACAAGUGAUAUCAGAGUUGUUCGACUCUGGGUAAAACGACAAGUCCUGUAGGCACAGUACCAGAAAAUUUUUAAUGAUUUACUUUGAAUUUAUUUUAUUUAAAUUGAAUUUAUUUCAUUUAACUUGAA